rnacentral:rRNA from 1 species
UACGGAGGGUGCGAACGUUAAUCGGAAUUACUGGGCGUAAAGCGCGCGUAGGCGGUUCGGUAAGGGGGAUGUGAAAGCCCCGGGCUUAACCUGGGAACUGCAUUCCAAAACGCCGAGCUUGAGUAUGGUAGAGGGAGGUAGAAUUUACUGUGUAGCGGUGAAAUGCGUAGAAAUAUGAAGGCAUAACAGUGGCGAAGGCGGCCUCCUGGAUCAAUACUGCCGCUGAGGUGCGAAAGCGUGGGGAGCAACCAGC